rnacentral:misc_RNA from 1 species
GAUGAAGAACGUAGCGAAAUGCGAUACGUAAUGUGAAUUGCAGAUUUCAGUGAAUCAUCGAAUCUUUGAACGCACAUUGCGCCCGCCAGUAUUCUGGCGGGCAUGCCUGUUCGAGCGUCAUUACAACCCUCAGGCCCCCGGGCCUGGCGUUGGGGAUCGGCGGAAGCCCCCUGCGGGCACAACGCCGUCCCCCAAAUACAGUGGCGGUCCCGCCGCAGCUUCCAUUGCGUAGUAGCUAACACCUCGCAACUGGAGAGCGGCGCGGCCACGCCGUAAAACACCCAACUUCUGAAUGUUGACCUCGAAUCAGGUAGGAAUACCCGCUGAACUUAAGCAUAUCAAUAAGCGGAGGA